UUUUCGUCCACGUUUACUCAGUUGAAUCCGUUCUUAAAAAUUAUAUCAUUUCUUGUCUGGGUUUUGUUAGUUGUUGUCUUAAGACAUCAUGUUGGCUAUUAGAAUAUUACUUUUAUUAUUAACAGUUAGUACAAUCAUAGUUGGUGGACGCAGAAUAAAGGAUGGAGAUAUAUAUAUAAAAAAGAACUGACAGUUUAAGAAGAAAUAUCCUGAGAUUAGCAGGUUUGUCGAUGACGUCAAGCUAUACAUGCCUAUCUUUUCUGUAAGUACUACGUUUGAAACGGUUACACCACAGAUAAGACUGUUUGAUGAACUCAAGACACAUGUUUAUACAUUCCAUGUUGAAAGCUUGACAAAGGAUGAACUCGUUCAAUUAUUGGAUGAUCUGGGCUUCCACAGGAAGCCACAGUACAUGAUGGAAUUGCCGGAGAAAUAUAAAAAUGGUGCAAGUCCUUCUGACAGUGGAAUAACAUUCGAUGAUUUAAUGGCGGGAAAUACAAAGUGGUCUCAAUACGGCACAAUAAUUAAUGCUCAUGAUGAAAUUUAAAUUUCAUACCGCCGUAAUUGCAUAAGUACAAUCAAAUAAAAGAAAUAUACAACUUCAAAACAAAAAACACAAAUCUUUAAUAAUUAAACGAGAAAACAUAAGAUUCAUUCAGAACAAAAAUUAAUGGUUUUAUGAUCACCAUUUAAAUAUCAAUUUAUGUAUGAUUCCUGGGACCGGAUGUUAUUUUGCUAAAUGAAUGGGGCAGAAUGCUAGCAAAACUGUUGUUUUUAGAGAAUUUAGUACAAGUUACUAGUUGUAAAGCAUUUCAAAUUUUGAUGACACUCUUUGUCGAAACAGUUUUUAACUGAGAUGAAGGGUUGAUGGAUAUGAUUUAAAAUGUUUUGUAUAUUUAUGUAAUUCGUAUUGAUUUCAAAUAAAACGAAGUCAUAUUUUA